rnacentral:rRNA from 1 species
GUAGGUGGCAAGCGUUGUCCGGAAUUAUUGGGCGUAAAGCGCGCGCAGGGCGGUCCUUUAAGUCUGAUGUGAAAGCCCACGGCUCAACCGUGGAGGGUCAUUGGAAACUGGGGGACUUGAGUACAGAAGAGGAAAGCGGAAUUCCGAGUGUAGCGGUGAAAUGCGUAGAGAUUUGGAGGAACACCAGUGGCGAAGGCGGCUUUCUGGUCUGUAACUGACGCUGAGGCGCGAAAGCGUGGGGAGCAAACAGGAUUAGAUACCCUGGUAGUCCACGCCGUAAACGAUGAGUGCUAAGUGUUAGGGGGUUUCCGCCCCUUAGUGCUGCAGCUAACGCAUUAAGCACUCCGCCUGGGGAGUACGGCCGCAAGGCUG